GAAGUAAACACAAAAGUCCAAAUGGGCAGGGAUAACUGGCUUAUGCAUCCAAGCGUUCAUAGCGACGUUGCUUUUUGAUCCUUCGAUGUCGGCUCAUCCUAUCAUACUAAAACAGAAUUCAGUAAACUUUGGAUUGUUCACCCACUAAUAGGGAAAAAGACCUGGAGUUUAGACCGUCAUGAAACAAGUUAGUUCUACC
rnacentral:ncRNA from 1 species